UGUUGUUUCCUCGGUGGGCUCGCCCACCGAUAGGAAUCCCCUAAACCCUUGUAUCUAUAAGCAUCAAAACUCUGAUAACCACAUAAAUAAUCACAACUUUCAACAAUGGAUCUCUUGGUUCUGGCAUCGAUGAAGAACGCAGCGAAAUGCGAAAAGUAGUGUGAAUUGCAGAAUUCCGUGAAUCAUCGAAUCUUUGAACGCACAUUGCGCCCCUCGGUAUUCCGUGGGGCAUGCCUGUUCGAGCGUCAUUUACACCCUCAAGCUCUGCUUGGUGUUGGGCGUCUGUCCCGCUUCAUGCGCGGACUCGCCCCAAAGUUAUUGGCAGCGGUCGUGCCAGCUUCUCGCGCAGCACAUUUGCGCUUCUUGAAGCCCUGGUGGAUCAGCGUCCAGCAAGCUCUAUUUUCGACUUGACCUCGGAUCAGGUAGGGAUACCCGCUGAACUUAAGCAUAUCAAUAA
rnacentral:rRNA from 1 species